UCAGUCUGCAGGAUGGCUGCAUUUUCUGGGGGGCGAGGGUCAUCGUGCCUCCCCCUGGCCAUUCACAGAUUGUGGAGGAAACUCUUGAGAAUCACUCAGGAGUGUCUCGAAUGAAAAGCUAUGCAAGAUCCUACGUUUGGUGGCCAAGAAUGGAUCAGGAUCUGGAGAUCAAGUUUUUACAUUUGGAGAAUGUUGGAUCUUAAAGCGGGAGAAGUGUUGUAAUGUGAGCAUUAUUAAAACCAUGCAGACAUGAUGGACCGAAGGGCCUAUAUCUGCUCCUAUACCUUAUGGUCUUUCUUUGAUUAUCAUUGGUGAGCCCAGCAGCAGGCGAGGGGCAUGGCCUCGGUUGUUGCACGGACUGGGCCUUCACGCUGCAGAAUCACCUGUGGCAGCCACGCAGGGAGGGAG